UUGUCUUCAACAGUCUUUAGUGGGCAAGUUUUAACGAUUGGUUGAAGUAUGGGUGUUGUCAUGCUUUCCCUUAUGUAAAAUGCUUUGAGUGACAUUUGGUUUCUCUUCCACUUGGUAUGAUGAUGUUUGAUGGAACCUGAGUACAUAGAUAAUAUUCAUUUGACAAUAUCAGUUUUGUCUCUUUGACACAUUAGAUGUGUAUACUGGGGCAUCUCAUCAUGGGAUUUUC
rnacentral:lncRNA from 1 species